rnacentral:rRNA from 1 species
AACGCUGGCGGCAGGCCUAACACAUGCAAGUCGAGCGGUAACAGAAAGUAGCUUGCUACUUUGCUGACGAGCGGCGGACGGGUGAGUAAUGCUUGGGAACAUGCCUUGAGGUGGGGGACAACAGUUGGAAACGACUGCUAAUACCGCAUAAUGUCUACGGACCAAAGGGGGCUUCGGCUCUCGCCUUUAGAUUGGCCCAAGUGGGAUUAGCUAGUUGGUGAGGUAAUGGCUCACCAAGGCGACGAUCCCUAGCUGGUUUGAGAGGAUGAUCAGCCACACUGGGACUGAGACACGGCCCAGACUCCUACGGGAGGCAGCA